AUUGAACGCUGGCGGCAGGCCUAACACAUGCAAGUCGAAUGGUAACAGGAAACAGCUUGCUGUUUCGCUGACGAGUGGCGGACGGGUGAGUAAUGUCUGGGAAACUGCCUGAUGGAGGGGGAUAACUACUGGAAACGGUAGCUAAUACCGCAUAACGUCGCAAGACCAAAGAGGGGGACCUUCGGGCCUCUUGCCAUCAGAUGUGCCCAGAUGGGAUUAGCUAGUAGGUGGGGUAACGGCUCACCUAGGCGACGAUCCCUAGCUGGUCUGAGAGGAUGACCAGCCACACUGGAACUGAGACACGGUCCAGACUCCUACGGGAGGCAGCAGUGGGGAAUAUUGCACAAUGGGCGCAAGCCUGAUGCAGCCAUGCCGCGUGUAUGAAGAAGGCCUUCAGGUUGUAAAGUACUUUCAGCGGGGAGGAAGGGAGUAAAGUUAAUACCUUUACUCAUUGACGUUACCCGCAGAAGAAGCAGCGGCUAAAUCCGUG
rnacentral:rRNA from 1 species